rnacentral:rRNA from 1 species
AAUCAACCGAGAUUCCCCCAGUAGCGGCGAGCGAACGGGGAGCAGCCCAGAGCCUGAAUCAGUGUGUGUGUUAGUGGAAGCGUCUGGAAAGGCGCGCGAUACAGGGUGACAGCCCCGUACACAAAAAUGCACAUACUGUGAGCUCGAUGAGUAGGGCGGGACACGUGGUAUCCUGUCUGAAUAUGGGGGGACCAUCCUCCAAGGCUAAAUACUCCUGACUGACCGAUAGUGAACCAGUACCGUGAGGGAAAGGCGAAAAGAACCCCGGCGAGGGGAGUGAAAAAGAACCUGAAACCGUGUACGUACAAGCAGUGGGAGCACGCUUAGGCGUGUGACUGCGUACCUUUUGUAUAAUGGGUCAGCGACUUAUAUUCUGUAGCAAGGUUAACCGAAUAGGGGAGCCGAAGGGAAACCGAGUCUUAACUGGGCGUUAAGUUGCAGGGUAUAGACCCGAAACCCGGUGAUCUAGCCAUGGGCAGGUUGAAGGUUGGGUAACACUAACUGGAGGACCGAACCGACUAAUGUUGAAAAAUUAGCGGAUGACUUGUGGCUGGGGGUGAAAGGCCAAUCAAACCGGGAGAUAGCUGGUUCUCCCCGAAAGCUAUUUAGGUAGCGCCUCGUGAAUUCAUCUCCGGGGGUAGAGCACUGUUUCGGCAAGGGGGUCAUCCCGACUUACCAACCCGAUGCAAACUGCGAAUACCGGAGAAUGUUAUCACGGGAGACACACGGCGGGUGCUAACGUCCGUCGUGAAGAGGGAAACAACCCAGACCGCCAGCUAAGGUCCCAAAGUCAUGGUUAAGUGGGAAACGAUGUGGGAAGGCCCAGACAGCCAGGAUGUUGGCUUAGAAGCAGCCAUCAUUUAAAGAAAGCGUAAUAGCUCACUGGUCGAGUCGGCCUGCGCGGAAGAUGUAACGGGGCUAAACCAUGCACCGAAGCUGCGGCAGCGACGCUUAUGCGUUGUUGGGUAGGGGAGCGUUCUGUAAGCCUGCGAAGGUGUGCUGUGAGGCAUGCUGGAGGUAUCAGAAGUGCGAAUGCUGACAUAAGUAACGAUAAAGCGGGUGAAAAGCCCGCUCGCCGGAAGACCAAGGGUUCCUGUCCAACGUUAAUCGGGGCAGGGUGAGUCGACCCCUAAGGCGAGGCCGAAAGGCGUAGUCGAUGGGAAACAGGUUAAUAUUCCUGUACUUGGUGUUACUGCGAAGGGGGGACGGAGAAGGCUAUGUUGGCCGGGCGACGGUUGUCCCGGUUUAAGCGUGUAGGCUGGUUUUCCAGGCAAAUCCGGAAAAUCAAGGCUGAGGCGUGAUGACGAGGCACUACGGUGCUGAAGCAACAAAUGCCCUGCUUCCAGGAAAAGCCUCUAAGCAUCAGGUAACAUCAAAUCGUACCCCAAACCGACACAGGUGGUCAGGUAGAGAAUACCAAGGCGCUUGAGAGAACUCGGGUGAAGGAACUAGGCAAAAUGGUGCCGUAACUUCGGGAGAA